rnacentral:rRNA from 1 species
GAUGAACGCUAGCGGCAGGCCUAACACAUGCAAGUCGAGGGGUAGCAGGAUUAAGCUUGCUUAAUUGCUGACGACCGGCGCACGGGUGCGUAACGCGUAUGCAACCUACCUUAUACUGGGGUAUAGCCCGGAGAAAUUCGGAUUAAUCCCCCAUAGUACUAAUGAAUCGCAUGGUUUAUUAGUUAAAGCAUUGCGGUAUAAGAUGGGCAUGCGUCCUAUUAGCUAUGGUGAGGUAACGGCUCACCAUGGCUACGAUAGGUAGGGGGCCUGAGAGGGUGGUCCCACGAACUGGUACUGAGACACGGACCAGACUCCUACGGGAGGCAGCAGUGAGGAAUAUUGGGCAAUGGGCGCAAGCCUGAACCAGCCAUGCCGCGUGCAGGAAGAAUGCCCUAUGGGUUGUAAACUGCUUUUAUUUGGGAAUAAACCUCUUUACGUGUAGAGAGCUGAAGGUACCAAAUGAAUAAGCACCGGCUAACUCCGUGCCAGCCGCCGCCGUAA